GACGAACGCUGGCGGCGUGCCUAAUACAUGCAAGUCGAACGCAGUGGGGACGGGUGAGUAACACGUGGGUAACCUCCCAUCAGAGGGGAUAACACUUGGAAACAGGUGCUAAACCGAUGUGCUGGAUGAACCCGCGGUUCCUUAGCUAGUUGGUGAGGUAACGGCUCCCCAAGGCCACGGUGCCAUGCCGACUGUGUAGUGUGAUCGGCCGCACUGGGACUGAGACACGGCCCAGACGCCUACGGUAGUCAGCAGUAGGGAAUCGUGGGCAAUGGAAGAAAGUCUGACCGAGCGACGCCGCGUGAGUGAAGAAGGUUUUCGGAUCGUAAAACUCUGUUGUUAGAGAAGCGGUAUCUAACCAGAAAGCCACGGCUAACUACGUGCCAGCCGCCGCGGUAAUAC
rnacentral:rRNA from 1 species